rnacentral:rRNA from 1 species
CGAAGGGGGCUAGCGUUGUUCGGAAUUACUGGGCGUAAAGGGCGCGUAGGCGGCCGUUUAAGUUAGAUGUGAAAGUCCUGGGCUCAACCUGGGGACUGCAUUUAAUACUGGAUGGCUUGAAUUCGGGAGAGGAUAGCGGAAUUCCCAGUGUAGAGGUGAAAUUCGUAGAUAUUGGGAAGAGCACCGGUGGCGAAGGCGGCUAUCUGGACCGACAUUGACGCUGAGGCGCGAAAGCGUGGGGAGCAAACAGGAUUAGAUACCCUGGUAGUCCACGCCGUAAACGAUGAGUGCUAGACGUUGGGAAGCUUAGCUUUUCAGUGUCGCAGCUAACGCAUUAAGCACUCCGCCUGGGGAGUACGGUCGCAAGAUUA